rnacentral:rRNA from 1 species
AGAGUUUGAUCCUGGCUCAGAAUGAACGCUGGCGGCAGGCCUAACACAUGCAAGUCGAACGGAUCCUUCGGGAUUAGUGGCGGACGGGUGAGUAACGCGUGGGAACAUACCCUUUGGUACGGAAUAGCCCUCGGGAAACUGGGAGUAAUACCGUAUGUGCUCUUCGGAGGAAAGAUUUAUCGCCAAAGGAUUGGCCCGCGUUGGAUUAGGUAGUUGGUGGGGUAAUGGCCUACCAAGCCGACGAUCCAUAGCUGGUUUGAGAGGAUGAUCAGCCACACUGGGACUGAGACACGGCCCAGACUCCUACGGGAGGCAGCAGUGGGGAAUCUUAGACAAUGGGGGAAACCCUGAUCUAGCCAUGCCGCGUGAUCGAUGAAGGCCUUAGGGUUGUAAAGAUCUUUCAGAUGGGAAGAUAAUGACGGAACCAUCAGAAGAAGCCCCGGCUAACUCCGUGCCAGCAGACGCGGUAAUACGGAGGGGGCUAGCGCUAUUCGGAAUUAC